rnacentral:rRNA from 1 species
AAUCAAGUGCCUUAAGGGUGUUCGGUGGAUGCCUUGGCGCUGAGAGGCGAUGAAGGACGUGCUACGCUGCGAUAAGCCGUGGGGAGCUGCGAAGAAGCUUUGAUCCGCGGAUUUC